rnacentral:rRNA from 1 species
AACGAACGCUGGCGGCAGGCCUAACACAUGCAAGUCGAGCGAGGUAGCAAUACCUAGCGGCGGACGGGUGAGUAACGCGUGGGAACGUGCCCCUUGGUACGGAAUAGCCCCGGGAAACUGGGAGUAAUACCGUAUGAGCUCUACGGAGGAAAGAUUUAUCGCCAAGGGAUCGGCCCGCGUUGGAUUAGGUAGUUGGUGGGGUAAUGGCCUACCAAGCCGACGAUCCAUAGCUGGUUUGAGAGGAUGAUCAGCCACACUGGGACUGAGACACGGCCCAGACUCCUACGGGAGGCAGCAGUGGGGAAUCUUAGACAAUGGGCGCAAGCCUGAUCUAGCCAUGCCGCGUGAGCGAUGAAGGCCUUAGGGUUGUAAAGCUCUUUCAGCUGGGAGGAUAAUGACUGUACCAGCAGAAGAAGCCCCGGCUAACUCCGUGCCAGCCGCCGCAGUAAGAC